GGGCUCAUAGCUCAAUUGGUAGAGCAGCGGACUCUUAAUCCGGAGGUUGAAGGUUCGAUUCCUUCUGGGCCCACCA
rnacentral:tRNA from 1 species